rnacentral:rRNA from 1 species
UACGUAGGGGGCGAGCGUUGUCCGGAAUUAUUGGGCGUAAAGGGCGUGUAGGCGGCCUGUUAAGUCAGGGGUGAAAACCCGUGGCUCAACCACGGGGUUGCCUUUGAAACUGGCGGGCUUGAGUGCUCUAGAGGGCAGUGGAAUUCCCGGUGUAGCAGUGAAAUGCGUAGAGAUCGGGAGGAACACCAGUGGCGAAGGCGGCUGCCUGGGGAGUAACUGACGCUGAGGCGCGAAAGCUAGGGGAGCAAACAGG